CAAAGAGGAGGGAGAGACAGACUUCAUCACUGACUCCAGACCUGAGAACAAACUCAUCUGAAGAACCGCUCACACCAAUUCAAAGAGGUGACUGUGAUCUCCUCAGACCAUUUGGCAGAACAGCCCAGGAUGAUUGAUUCUGCACAUUCUAUGGGAAGGCGUGAGGGAAGUUCUCAUCUGAUGAAAAGACGACUCGGAUCCGCCCAGACCAGACCUUGACUGUGAACUGCCCGGCAGGAGGCAUAUCAUAAGUGAACAAUAGAGGGACACAUCUACUGACUUUUCAGACUCUUUUCCCACGGGUGAAGGCGUCUAUGCCGAACCUAGCAGGUGGGGCCGAACACUGUUUGAACCCAGGUGAUUCCGUGGUGGUCAAAGACUUCAGGAGAAAGAGUUGGAACGACCCCCGUCGAUAUCAAGUUCUUCAAGACCACCCCCCACUGCGGUGAAGGUUUGCUGAGAGAGAAACCUGGAUCCACGCGUAGCACUGCAGACGAGCUCCUGAUCCAGGAGAAGAUGAGGCCUCGCCAGUCCCAGCGGUGCCGUGUGGCCCUCCUCUGCUUUAGCACAGGAAUGCUAAUAGGAACAGCAGGCUGUCUUCUUGUAGGAAACCCGACAGAGGGUCAAAUGAGUCCUGAGCCAAAGGGGCGAACACAGGCCUGGAGUAGUGGCCCAGAAGUAGAUGGUCACCGUAGAAGGAGAGGCCUGCUGGGCCCUCACAACCAGGAGGACAAUUUGUUCUUAUCUAGAGCACAAAUGGUUGCCAACCUGACAUUCAAAGGAAAGGACUGCUGGGUGUGUGGGUUGAGUCCGGGGAAGGUUGGGGCAGGCUUCCCCCUUGUAGGAGUCCCGAUAGGGGUGAACUUUACUAUAGCGUUGGCAGGAAAAAUACCUUUUUACACUAUGACCAACAAUGUUAAGGUAUAUAAUCAACCCAAUAUAUUCUGUUAUGUGAGACCUGAUAGUGUUUCACUCCCACCCAUUUCAGUGGCUGCGGUGACGACUGCCCCUUGGUGUAUUAGGGGAUAUGGAGAUCACUAUUUGGGUGAAUUCAAAUGUAAUUGUACAAUGAAUAUUAAUGGAUCAAAUGCUUGCAAUUUAAAGGUGAUACAGGAGAAUGGCCAGGCUGAUAAAGAACCGUUUACAAUUUGGUUUGACAAACAUAGAACAACUCUGAGAGGAGCCCCUAAUGGCACCUACUGGCUGUGUGGUAAGAUGGCUUACCACAGCCUUCCCCUGAACUGGGGAGGUACUUGUACUGUUGGGUUUGUGGUGACAGCAAUGAGAACUGUUCCAAACAAUGACCAGAAUCUGAAGGCUCUCUUCAGAGACUACAAACCUCCUGGGACGAGGAGAGAUAAGAGGUCUCUGGCCGACGGCACUCACACUCAGGCACCUGCCUCCAGGUUCUUUGACGGGUUUGUCCCUGGGUAUGGAGUUGCCGGCGCCCAAGACCAAAUCCGUGAUAUCUCUAGACACGUAGAGAAAAUUGGCAAUGCUACUCGAAAUGCCCUGGAACAAUUGAAUGGGGAACUAAAAGAAUUGGCUGAAAUGACUCUUCAGAACAGAGAGGCUCUUGACUAUCUUCUGGCAGCUCAAGGGGGCACUUGUGCAAUCAUUGGCGAUGAAUGUUGUACUUUUGUCCCAGGUCGCUCUUCUAAUGUGACUGACCUUGCCCAAUACAUUGUCACUGUUGCUAAAAAUUAUUCCCCACAACUAGAGCGGACGCUUGCAACUUGGUUGGAGUCCCUGUUGGGAAGUUGGGGAUCUCAUAUUGCCCAAUGGGCUGCAGCGUGUGUUUUUUGAUUAGGCUGCAUAAUUCUAUUAUUAACAGGCUGCAAGGCUAUCUAACAGGCUGUAAGGCUAUCUAACAGGCUGUAAGGCUGUCUAACAGGCUAUAAGGCUAUCUAACAGGCUGUAAGGCUGUCUAACAGGCUGUAAGGCUCUCUAACAGGCUGUAAGGCUGUCUAACAGGCUGUAAGGCUGUCUAACAGGCUGUAAGGCUAUCUAACAGGCUGUAAGGCUUUCUAACAGGCUGUAAGGCUAUCUAACAGGCUGUAAGGCUCUCUAACAGGCUGUCAGGCUAUCUAACAGGCUGUAAGGCUAUCUAACAGGCUGUCAGGCUAUCUAACAGGCUGUAAGGCUCUCUAACAAGCUGUAAGGCUAUCUAACAGGCUGUAAGGCUCUCUAACAGGCUGUAAGGCUCUCUAACAGGCUGUAAGGCUAUCUAACAGGCUGUAAGGCUCUCUAACAGGCUGUAAGGCUCUCUAACAGGCUGUAAGGCUAUCUAACAGGCUGUAAGGAUAUCUAACAGGCUGUAAGGCUCUCUAACAGGCUGUAAGUCUAUCUAACAGGCUGUAAGGCUAUCUAACAGGCUGUAAGGCUCUCUAACAGGCUGUAAGGCUCUCUAACAGGCUGUAAGGCUCUCUAACAGGCUGUAAGGCUCUCUAACAGGCUGUAAGGCUCUCUAACAGGCUGUAAGGCUCUCUAACAGGCUGUAAGUCUAUCUAACAGGCUGUAAGGCUCUCUAACAGGCUGUAAGUCUAUCUAACAGGCUGUAAGGCUCUCUAACAGGCUGUAAGGCUCUCUAACAGGCUGUAAGGCUCUCUAACAGGCUGUAAGGCUAUCUAACAGGCUGUAAGGCUAUCUAACAGGCUGUAAGGCUAUCUAACAGGCUGUAAGGCUAUCUAACAGGCUGUAAGGCUAUUCUCCCUGUGUAAUACGGUCUCAGCGUUUAAUGCUCUUCAAGGGGAUGGUGAGCUGCCGAAGCUGGAUGAGCUUCCCUUUUUCCCACUGUAGAUUGAGACGAUGAGUAAUAACUGAAGGUUGCUUUUGUUUGACAAGUUUAGAAGGUUUAAAGUUGAGUUAAUCAUUUAUAUUAAAACACCAUUGUGGUAAGAGCUAUGGAAACAAUGGUUAAACAUCGAGCUACAAUUCCCUUGUGUGUGUAUUUUUUUGAUAGAUUGACUAAUAGAAGUAUAACCUUGACUGUAGAUUUUAGCUUUAUUAUGAUGAUAGUAUUUCCGUAAAUGAACUUGUGUGAUGAAGCAUGUGUGUCAGUGUAAUGAAGCAUGUGUGUCAGUGUAUGAAGCAUGUGUGUCAGUGUAAUGAAGCAUGUGUGUCAGUGUAUGAAGCAUGUGUUUAAGUGUAAUGAAGCAUGUGUGUCAGUGUAUGAAGCAUGUGUUUAAGUGUAAUGAAGCAUGUGUGUCAGUGUAAUGAAGCAUGUGUGUCAGUGUAUGAAGCAUGUGUGUAAGUGUGAUGAAGCAUGUGUGUAAGUGUGAUGAAGCAUGUGUGUAAGUGUAUGAAGCAUGUGUUUAAGUGUAUGAAGCAUGUGUAUGAAGCAUGUGUAAUGAAGUAUGUGUGUGAGUGUGAUGAAGCGAAGGUCUUAAUUUAAACCGUUCUACUGCCAUGGCUUUACAAGUGUUAGACUUAUGGAAUACGGAUAAUUUAUCAUUUCGAUUGUACAACCCAGAAUGAAGGGUUUGAAAGGAUAAAGUGGCGUUUUUAUGAGUUGAUUUCAGUGUUUUUGAUAGGACCUCCUUUGAUAGUUUAAGCCUUUAAUCUAACGUCACCUUAACAUGUUACAACAGUUAUCACAGAGUGAUAAGAGAAGAUGUGGUGGGAAAUGUUGUUGUCUGAAGAGAAGCCUUGCAUUGUACAUCUUGGUCUUGUUCUCUCUCACUAUAUGGUGGUUUGUGCAGGUGACUGUGACCUCCUCAGACCAAUUGGUAGAACAGCCCAGAAUAUUUUCUGGGAGUUAAGACAGGAGACAUUUGGUUAAUUUGUUUUAAUUGUCUCAUUAAUAGUUUUUGUUGACAACGAUUUUUUAGGUCGUUGACAAUGAUUAUUUUUGUCAUAGUUAUUAUUGACAAAAGGAACACUGUUUGACAGGGCAUCAUUAUUUAACAUUGAUUUUAUUUUACGAGGCAAGGCAGUUAAAAACAACUUCUUAUUUUCAAUGACAGCCUAGGAACAGUGGGUUAACUGCCUUGUUCAGGGGCAGAAUGACAGAUUUUGACCUUGUCAGUUCGGGGAUUCAAUCUUUCAACCUUUCGGUUACAAGUCAAAUGCUCUAACCACAAGGCUACCUGCUGCUGUUAAAGGCAUAAACCAAACCACGUGUUACUGUGUGUUCAAUUGAGACAUAUUGCAACGAGAUUAAGUCUGUAAUACCACCUUGUUUCAAGCAGACCACCAUAGACCCUGUGCCCAAGAACACGAAGGCAACCUGCCUAAAUGACUACCAACCCGUAGCACUCAGGUCCGUAGCCAUGAAGUGCUUUGAAAGGCUGGAAAAUGCCCAUGAACAAGGCAGUUAACCCACUGUUGCCUAUCCCAGAAACCCACUAUCCCAGAAACCCACUAUCCCAGAAACCCACUAUCCCAGAAACCCACUAUCCCAGAAACCCACUAUCCCAGAAACCCACUAUCCCAGAAACCCAUUAUCCCAGAAACCCACUAUCCCAGAAACCCACUAUCCCAGAAACCCACUAUCCCAGAAACUCACUAUCCCAGAAACCCACUAUCCCAGAAACCCACUAUCCCAGAAACCCACUAUCCCAGAAACCCACUAUCCCAGAAACCCACUAUCCCAGAAACCCACUAUCCCAGAAACCCACUAUCCCAGAAACCCACUAUCCCAGAAACCCACUAUCCCAGAAACUCACUAUCCCAGAAACCCACUAUCCCAGAAACCCAUUAUCUCAGAAACCCAUUAUCCCAGAAACCCACUAUCCCAGAAACCCUAGACCCUGUCCAAUUUGCAUACUGCCCAAACAGAUCCACAGAUGAUGUAAUCUCUAUUACAUUCCACACUGCCUUUCCCCACCUGGACAAAAGGAACACCUAUGCGAGAAUGCUGUUCAUUGACACAUUUCAACACCAUAGUACCCUCAAAGCUCUUCACUAAGCUAAGGAUCCUGGGACUAAACACCUCCCUCUGCAACUGGAUCCUGGACUUCCUGACAGGCCGCCCGCAGGUGGUGAGGGUCGGUAGCAACACAUCUGCCACGCUGAUCCUCAACACUGGAGCCCCCGAGAGGUGCGUGCUUAGUCCCCUCCUGUACUCCCUGUUCACCCACGACUGCGUGGCUAUGCACGACUCCCAACACCAUCAUUAAGUUUGCACAUGACAAGAGUGAUCACCGACAACGAUGAGACAGUCUAUAGGGAGGUGGUCAGAGACCUGGCCAGGUGGUGCCAGAAUAACAACCUAUCCCUCAACGUAAUCAAGACUAAGGAGAUGAUUGUGGACUAGAGGAAAAGGAGGGCCGAGCACGCCCCCAUUCUCAUCAAUGGGGCUGUAGUGGAGCAGGUUGAAAGCUUCAAGAUCCUUGGUGUCCACAUCAACAACAAACUAGAAUGGUCAAAACACACCAAGACAAUCGUGAAGAGGGUACAACAAAGCCUAUUCCCCCUCAGGAAACUGAAAAGAUUUGGCAUGGGUCCUUAGAUCCACAAAAGGUUCUACAGCUGCACCAUCGAGAGCAUCCUGACUGGUUGCAUCACUGCCUGGUACGGCCACUGCUCGUCCUCCGACCACAAUGCACUACAGAGGGCAGUGAGUACGGCCCAGUACAUCCCUGGGGAUAAGCUGCCUGCCAUCCAGGACCUCUAUACCAGGCGGUGUCAGAGGAAGGCCCUAACAAUGGUCAAAGACCCCAGCCACCCCAGUCAUAGACUGUUCUCUCUGUUACCUCAUGGCAAGCAGUACCGGAGUGCCAAGUCUAGGACCAAAAGGCUUCUCAACAGCUUCUACCCCCAAGCCAUAAGACUCCUAAACAGGUAAUCAAAUGGCUACCCGGACAAUUUGCAUUGUGUUCCACCCCCAACCCCUCUUUUACACUACUCUCUGUUUAUCAAAUAGGCACAGUCACUUUAACUAUACAUUCAUAUACAUACGAGCACAUUGGCAAACCAGUCUAUCUGCAUUGUGUCCCACCACACUCCAACCCCUCUUUCAUGCUACUGCUACUCUCUGUUCAUCAUAUACGCAUAGUCACUUUAACCACAUCUACAUGUACAUACUACCUCAAUCAGCCCGACUAACCGGUAUGUAUCCUUGCUACUUUUAUAGCCUUGCUACUGUAUAUAGCCUCGCUACUGUAUAUAGCCUCACUACUGUAUAUAGCCUCACUACUGUAUAUAGCCUCGCUAAUGUAUGUAGCCUCGCUACUGUAUGUAGCCUCUCUACUGUAUAUAGCCUCUCUACUGUAUAUAGCCUCGCUACUGUUAUUGCCCUGCUACUGUAUAUAGCCUCACUACUGUAUAUAGCCUCAAUACUGUAUAUAGCCACUCUACUGUAUAUAGCCUCUCUACUGUAUAUAGCCUCUCUACUGUAUAUAGCCUCACUACUGUAUAUAGCCUCAAUACUGUAUAUAGCCACUCUACUGUAUAUAGCCUCUCUACUGUAUAUAGCCUCUCUACUGUAUAUAGCCUCUCUACUGUAUAUAGCCUCUCUACUGUAUAUAGCCUUACUACUGUAUAUAGCCUCACUACUGUAUAUAGCCUAUCUACUGUAUAUAGCCUCUCUAAUGUAUAUAGCCUCUCUACUGUAUGUAGCCUCUCUACUGUAUAUAGCCUCUCUACUGUUUAUAGCCUCACUACUGUAUAAAGCCUCUCUACUGUAUAUAGCCUAUCUACUGUAUAUAGUAAUAAUAACCUUUUUGCACUGUUGGUUAAAAAAAAGCCUGUAAGAUCUACACCUGUUGUAUUCAGCAUUUCACUGCGAGGUCUACUACACCUGUUGUAUUCCGUAUUUCACUGCGAGGUCUACUACACCUGUUGUAUUCAGCAUUUCACUGUACGGUCUCUACACCUGUUGUAUUCAGCAUUUCACUGUAAGGUCUACUACACCUGUUGUAUUCCGUAUUUCACUGCGAGGUCUACUACACCUGUUGUAUUCAGCAUUUCACUGUACGGUCUCUACACCUGUUGUAUUCAGCAUUUCACUGUAAGGUCUACUACACCUGUUGUAUUCAGCAUUUCACUGUAAGGUCUACUACACCUGUUUUAUUCAGCAUUUCACUGUAAGGUCUACUACACCUGUUGUAUUCAGCAUUUCACUGUAAGGUCUAUUACACCUGUUGUAUUCAGCAUUUCACAGUGAGGUCUACUACACCUGUUGUAUUCAGCAUUUCACUGUACGGUCUCUACACCUGUUGUAUUCAGCAUUUCACUGUAAGGUCCACUACACCUGUUGUAUUCAGCAUUUCACUGUAAGGUCUACUACACCUGUUGUAUUCAGCAUUUCACUGUAAGGUCUACUACACCUGUUGUAUUCAGUAUUUCACUGUAAGGUCUACUACACCUGUUGUAUUCAGCAUUUCACUGUAAGGUCAACACCUGUUGUAUUCAGCAUUUCACUGUGAGGUCUACUACACCUGUUGUAUUCAGCAUUUCACUGUAAGGUCUCUACACCUGUUGUAUUCAGCAUUUCACUGCAAGGUCUCUAAACCUGUUGUAUUCAGCAUUUCACUGCAAGGUCUCUAAACCUGUUGUAUUCAGCAAUUCACUGUAAGGUCAACUACACCUGUUGUAUUCAGCAUUUCACUGUAAGGUCAACUACACUUGUUGUAUUCAGCAUUUCACUGUGAGGUCUACUACACCUGUUGUAUUCAGCAUUUCACUGUAAGGUCCCUACACCUGUUGUAUUCAGCAUUUCACUGUAAGGUCUACUACACCUGUUGUAUUCAGUAUUUCACUGUGAGGUCUACUACACCUGUUGUAUUCAGAAUUUCACUGUGAGGUCUACUACACCUGUUGUAUUCAGCAUUUCACUGUAAGGUCAACACCUGUUGUAUUCAGCAUUUCACUUUGAGGUCUACUACACCUGUUGUAUUCAGCAUUUCACUGUAAGGUCUCUACACCUGUUGUAUUCAGCAUUUCACUGCAAGGUCUCUAAACCUGUUGUAUUCAGCAAUUCACUGUAAGGUCAACUACACUUGUUGUAUUCAGCAUUUCACUGUGAGGUCUACUACACCUGUUGUAUUCAGCAUUUCACUGUAAGGUCCCUACACCUGUUGUAUUCAGCAUUUCACUGUAAGGUCUCUACACCUGUUGUAUUCAGCAUUUCACUGUAAGGUCUCUAAACCUGUUGUAUUCAGCAUUUCACUGUAAGGUCUACUACACUUGUUGUAUUCAGCAUUUCACUGUGAGGUCUACUACACCUGUUGUAUUCAGCAUUUCACUGUAAGGUCUACUACACCUGUUGUAUUCAGCAUUUCACUGUGAUGUCUACUACACCUGUUGUAUUCAGCAUUUCACUGUAAGGUCUACUACACCUGUUAUAUUCAGCAUUUCACUGUAAGGUCUACUACACCUGUUGUAUUCAGCAUUUCACUGUCAGGUCUACUACACCUGUUGUAUUCAGCAUUUCACUGUAAGGUCUCUACACCUGUUGUAUUCAGCAUUUCACUCUCAGGUCUACUACACCUGUUGUAUUCAGUAUUUCACUGUGAGGUCUACUACACCUGUUGUAUUCAGUAUUUCACUGUGAGGUCUACUACACCUGUUGUAUUCAGCAUUUCACUGUGAGGUCUACUACACCUGUUGUAUUCAGCAUUUCACUGUGAGGUCUACUACACCUGUUGUAUUCAGCAUUUCACUUUGAGGUCUACUACACCUGUUGUAUUCAGCAUUUCACUGCAAGGUCUCUAAACCUGUUGUAUUCAGCAUUUCACUGCAAGGUCUCUAAACCUGUUGUAUUCAGCAAUUCACUGUAAGGUCAACUACACUUGUUGUAUUCAGCAUUUCACUGUGAGGUCUACUACACCUGUUGUAUUCAGCAUUUCACUGUAAGGUCCCUACACCUGUUGUAUUCAGCAUUUCACUGUAAGGUCUACUACACCUGUUGUAUUCAGUAUUUCACUGUGAGGUCUACUACACCUGUUGUAUUCAGAAUUUCACUGUGAGGUCUACUACACCUGUUGUAUUCAGCAUUUCACUGUAAGGUCAACACCUGUUGUAUUCAGCAUUUCACUUUGAGGUCUACUACACCUGUUGUAUUCAGCAUUUCACUGUAAGGUCUCUACACCUGUUGUAUUCAGCAUUUCACUGCAAGGUCUCUAAACCUGUUGUAUUCAGCAAUUCACUGUAAGGUCAACUACACUUGUUGUAUUCAGCAUUUCACUGUGAGGUCUACUACACCUGUUGUAUUCAGCAUUUCACUGUAAGGUCCCUACACCUGUUGUAUUCAGCAUUUCACUGUAAGGUCUCUAAACCUGUUGUAUUCAGCAUUUCACUGUAAGGUCUACUACACUUGUUGUAUUCAGCAUUUCACUGUGAGGUCUACUACACCUGUUGUAUUCAGCAUUUCACUGUAAGGUCUACUACACCUGUUGUAUUCAGCAUUUCACUGUGAUGUCUACUACACCUGUUGUAUUCAGCAUUUCACUGUAAGGUCUACUACACCUGUUAUAUUCAGCAUUUCACUGUAAGGUCUACUACACCUGUUGUAUUCAGCAUUUCACUGUCAGGUCUACUACACCUGUUGUAUUCAGCAUUUCACUGUAAGGUCUCUACACCUGUUGUAUUCAGCAUUUCACUGUCAGGUCUACUACACCUGUUGUAUUCAGUAUUUCACUGUGAGGUCUACUACACCUGUUGUAUUCAGCAUUUCACUGUGAGGUCUACUACACCUGUUGUAUUCAGCAUUUCACUGUGAGGUCUACUACACCUGUUGUAUUCAGCAUUUCACUUUGAGGUCUACUACACCUGUUGUAUUCAGCAUUUCACUGUAAGGUCUACUACACCUGUUGUAUUCAGCAUUUCACUGUAAGGUCCCUACACCUGUUGUAUUCAGCAUUUCACUGUAAGGUCUCUACACCUGUUGUAUUCAGCAUUUCACUGCAAGGUCUCUAAACCUGUUGUAUUCAGCAUUUCACUGUAAGGUCUACUACACUUGUUGUAUUCAGCAUUUCACUGUGAGGUCUACUACACCUGUUGUAU